CCUACGGGCGGCAGCAGUGAGGAAUAUUGGUCAAUGGACGAGAGUCUGAACCAGCCAAGUAGCGUGAAGGAUGACUGCCCUAUGGGUUGUAAACUUCUUUUAUAUGGGAAUAAAAUGUUCCACGUGUGGGAUUUUGUAUGUACCAUAUGAAUAAGGAUCGGCUAACUCCGUGCCAGCAGCCGCGGUAAUACGGAGGAUCCGAGCGUUAUCCGGAUUUAUUGGGUUUAAAGGGAGCGUAGGUGGAUUGUUAAGUCAGUUGUGAAAGUUUGCGGCUGAACCGUAAAAUUGCAGUUGAAACUGGCAGUCUUGAGUACAGUAGAGGUGGGCGGAAUUCGUGGUGUAGCGGUGAAAUGCUUAGAUAUCACGAAGAACUCCGAUUGCGAAGGCAGUUCACUGGACUGCAACUGACACUGAGGCUCGAAAGUGUGGGUAUCAAACAGGAUUAGAUACCCGGGUAGUC
rnacentral:rRNA from 1 species